GAUGAACGCUGGCGGCGUGCCUAAUACAUGCCAGUCGAGCGAACAGACGAGGAGCUUGCUCCUCUGACGUUAGCGGCGGACGGGUGAGUAGCACGUGGAUAACCUACCUAUAAGACUGGGAUAACUUCGGGAAACCGGAGCUAAUACCGGAUAAUAUAUUGAACCGCAUGGUUCAAUAGUGAAAGACGGUUUUGCUGUCACUUAUAGAUGGAUCCGCGCCGCAUUAGCUAGUUGGUAAGGUAACGGCUUACCAAGGCAACGAUGCGUAGCCGACCGGAGAGGGUGAUCGGACACACGGGAAGUGAGACACGGUCCAGACUCCUACGGGAGGCAGCAGUAGGGAAGCUUCCGCAAUGGGCGAAAGCAUGACGGAGCAACGCCGCGUGAGUGAUGAAGGUCUUCGGAUCGUAAAACUCUGUUAUUAGGGAAGAACAAAUGUGUAAGUAACUAUGCACGUCUUGACGGUACCUAAUCAGAAAGCCACGGCUAACUACGUG
rnacentral:rRNA from 1 species